rnacentral:lncRNA from 1 species
CAGAUCGACAAAUAAACAAAUAUUGUAAGCUGGGUUCUCGCAGGAAUGGAAAAUCUCUGUAUUGUUGCCAGGCGAUUCAUUUACAGCAUUGUUCUUCUCUGAAGUAAAUACAUCUUUAAGCACAAGGAGAAACACAGACAUGCUGAGACGGAUUGGGGUGUUUGAUAUGAGAAAAUAAUGUGCUCAAAGGCAUGACAUCAUCAUCCGUGUAUCCAGCUCCAAGCGUGUGCCAGGAGUGGACCCUGUCGGCGACUCGCGGAUCACUCAAGUGGACGGUGCACAGUCAGAAAUACAGAUGUCUGUGGUCAUGGAGGGCGUGAGGCGCAGUGGGAGCCGACUCAAAAUACAAAAUGAGGAAAAAUAUGACCCCAACUGUAGAAGGAGUAGCUUCAUGACUCCUCCAAUCAGACAAGACCCAUCGGACGAGCCCGAGUCUAUGGUGAAGGGGAUGAAGGGCUAUCAGAUGACGGCCGCUGACCUGGAGUUCAUGCAGAGGCUAAAAGAGGAGAAGGAGCUCAAGAAACUGCAGGAAGAGGCAGCAGCUUUGGAGAAUGAACUCAAAUGUCGUCAGAUGGCUCUGGAGCGGUCUCUGGCUGUCAAGGAGAAAGCUGAGGCUGAACUGGAGCAGUUGGCAUCCUUCGAGGACAUCAGAACGUGGGCUCUGGUGGUCCUUGAAAAGACCUCACCAUCAUCCACGGACCUCUCAGACCUGGACAUAAAGGCACUGCUGGCCUUAAUCACCUGCGAAAAUGUGGGCAAAGUCCUCUCUGAGAAAGACCUGGAGCUCGUAGGGCUGGAGGACAAGUUGGCUCAGAAGAAGGAAAUGGACGCCGAGGAGAGGGAACGGCUGGAACAGAGUAUCGGCAUUAAACAGGCGAAGAUCCUUGGAUUGAUGGGCACGUUGGCAGAGCUGAAGUCCUCCCUGACUCGACAGCAGGAACUAAAGCUGAAAAACCAACAGCAUCCAGAAAAAGCAGGUGUAAAACGUGGCCCAAAACGUAAAGACAAGCCUCCUGUAAAGACGGAAACAGUUCAAGCAGACAAAGGCUCGAGCAAAGGCACGUCAGGUGUCCGGGCUGAAGUUCAGAGGAAGGGCAAAGUGAAAAUGUCGGCAGCAGCGGCGGAUCGAGAGGCUCCACAAAAAGGGAAGGGGGCUCUGCCCAAGCCCAAGUCCGAAGAGGCGACAGUGACGGCGACUCAUAACAGACGAAAAGCUGUGGCUGUGAGUAGUGCCCCUGCGGAGAACCAGGAAGUCGUGCUGCGGCGGUCCAAAAGGAUCGCCUGUAGAAAGUAGCUUAGUGACUUACAAGUAGUUUAGUUUUUACAAGUUUUUAUGGAAUAAAGUUCAACAUAAAAUGUUUAAAUUCAUUAAAUAAUUUGGACAAUUCACUCACAUGUUUGUGUAUUCUUUCCUUCUGAAAAUGUAGUCAAGUUGGUCCUGAGGUUACGCUAAUCUUGAAGACCAAAUAAAAAUGAUUUGAUCAAUGU